AAAGGUUGCGGCACGUUUUCGACAAGGACCAGAGGUAUUGUCAGAAAAGAAACAGAGAAUCGGACAAGGAAAAUGAAGAGACGAGUUAAAUUUCGUAGAAUUCAAUCGGCUUUGUAACAGUUAUCAGUGACAGCCCAAGUAAAAUAGGGACCAUUUACAAUGUCUCCUAAAUACGCAUA